CCUACGGGGUGCAGCAGUGAGGAAUAUUGGUCAAUGGGCGCGAGCCUGAACCAGCCAAGUCGCGUGAGGGAGGACGGCCCUACGGGUUGUAAACCUCUUUUGCCGGGGAGCAACGGGCGUCACGUGUGGCGCCACUGAGAGUACCCGGAGAAAAAGCAUCGGCUAACUCCGUGCCAGCAGCCGCGGUAAUACGGAGGAUGCGAGCGUUAUCCGGAUUUAUUGGGUUUAAAGGGUGCGUAGGCGGAUCGUUAAGUCAGGGGUCAAAUUGAGGGGCUCAACCCCUUCCCGCCAUUGAAACUGGCGUUCUUGAGUGGAAGAGAAGUAUGCGGAAUGCGUGGUGUAGCGGUGAAAUGCAUAGAUAUCACGCAGAACCCCGAUUGCGAAGGCAGCAUGCCGGCUUCCGACUGACGCUGAAGCACGAAAGCGUGGAGAUCGAACAGGAUUAGAUACCCUUGUAGUC
rnacentral:rRNA from 1 species